AGAGCUCGUAGGCGGUUUGUCGCGUCUGCCGUGAAAGUCCGGGGCUCAACUCCGGAUCUGCGGUGGGUACGGGCAGGCUAGAGUGAUGUAGGGGAGACUGAAAUUCCUGGUGUAGCGGUGAAAUGCGCAGAUAUCAGGAGGAACACCGAUGGCGAAGGCAGGUCUCUGGGCAUUAACUGACGCUGAGGAGCGAAAGCAUGGGGAGCGAACAGGAUUAGAUACCCUGGUAGUCCAUGCCGUAAACGUUGGGCACUAGGUGUGGGGGACAUUCCACGUUUUCCGCGCCGUAGCUAACGCAUUAAGUGCCCCGCCUGGGGAGUACGGCCGCAAGGCUAAAACUCAAAGGAAUUGACGGGGGCCCGCACAAGCGGCGGAGCAUGCGGAUUAAUUCGAUGCAACGCGAAGAACCUUACCAAGGCUUGACAUGAACCGGACCGGGCUGGAAACAGUCUUUCCCCUUGUGGGCUGGUUUACAGGUGGUGCAUGGUUGUCGUCAGCUCGUGUCGUGAGAUGUUGGGUUAAGUCCCGCAACGAGCGCAACCCUCGUUCUAUGUUGCCAGCACGUGAUGGUGGGGACUCAUAGGAGACUGCCGGGGUCAACUCGGAGGAAGGUGGGGACGACGUCAAAUCAUCAUGCCCCUUAUGUCUUGGGCUUCACGCAUGCUACAAUGGCCGGUACAAAGGGUUGCGAUACUGUGAGGUGGAGCUAAUCCCAAAAAGCCGGUCUCAGUUCGGAUUGGGGUCUGCAACUCGACCCCAUGAAGUCGGAGUCGCUAGUAAUCGCAGAUCAGCAACGCUGCGGUGAAUACGUUCCCGGGCCUUGUACACACCGCCCGUCAAGUCACGAAAGUUGGUAACACCCGAAGCCGGUGGCCUAACCCCUUGUGGGAGGGAGCCGUCGAAGUGGGACUGGCGAUUGGGACG
rnacentral:rRNA from 1 species